rnacentral:rRNA from 1 species
GACGAACGCUGGCGGCGUGCUUAACACAUGCAAGUCGAACGGAAAGGCCCUGCUUUCGGGGUGCUCGAGUGGCGAACGGGUGAGUAACUCGCGGGUGAUCUGCCCCCUACUUUGGGAUAAGCCUGGUAAACUGGGUCUAAUACUUGAUAGGUCCAUGCUUUAGGUGGUGUGGUGGAAAGAUUAGUUUCGGUAAGGGAUGAGCUCGCGGCCUAUCAGCUUGUUGGUGGGGUAAUGGCCUACCAAGGCGUCGACGGGUAGCCGGCCUGAGAGGGUGGACGGACACAUUGAGACUGAGAGACGGCCCAGACUCCUGCGGGAGGCAGCAGUGGGGAAUAUUGCACAAUGGGCGGAAGCCUGAUGCAGCGACGCCGCGUGGGGGAUGACGGCCUUCGGGUUGUAAACUCCUUUCAGCCAUGACGAAGCCCUUGUGGUGACGGUAGUGGUAGAAGAAGCACCGGCUAACUACGUG